rnacentral:rRNA from 1 species
AUUGAACGCUGGCGGCAGGCCUAACACAUGCAAGUCGAACGAGAGGCGGACGGGUGAGUAAGGUAUGGGAAACUGCCUGAUGGAGGGGGAUAACUACUGGAAACGGUAGCUAAUACCGCCUACCAUAGGCUGGGCCCCGAUGGGAUUAGCUAGUAGGUGGGGUAAAGGCUCACCUAGGCGACGAACCCUAGCUGGUCUGAGAGGAUGAACAGCCACACUGGAACUGAGACACGGUCCAGAAUCCUACGGGAGGCAGCAGGGGGGAAUAUUGCACCAUGGGCGCAAGCCUGAUGCAGCCAUGCCUCGUGUAUGAAGAAGGCCUUCGGGUUGUAAAGUACUUUCAGCGGGGAGGCGUUACCCGCAGAAGAAGCACCGGCUAACUCCGUGCCAGCAGCCGCGGUAAUUC